AACGAACGCUGGCGGCAUGCCUAACACAUGCAAGUCGAACGAGACCUUCGGGUCUAGUGGCGCACGGGUGCGUAACGCGUGGGAACCUGCCCUUAGGUUCGGAAUAACUCCCCGAAAGGGGUGCUAAUACCGGAUAAUGUCUUCGGACCAAAGAUUUAUCGCCUUUGGAUGGGCCCGCGUUGGAUUAGCUAGUUGGUAGGGUAAAAGCCUACCAAGGCGACGAUGCAUAGCUGGUCUGAGAGGAUGAUCAGCCACACUGGGACUGAGACACGGCCCAGACUCCUACGGGAGGCAGCAGUGGGGAAUAUUGGACAAUGGGCGAAAGCCUGAUCCAGCAAUGCCGGGUGAGUGAUGAAGGCCUUAGGGUUGUAAAGCUCUUUUACCCGGGAUGAUAAUGACAGUACCGGGAGAAUAAGCACCGGCUAACUCCGUG
rnacentral:rRNA from 1 species